UACGGGGGGGGCAAGCGUUGUUCGGAAUUACUGGGCGUAAAGGGUUUGUAGGUGGCUUGCUAAGUCAGACGUGAAAUCCCUCGGCUUAACCGGGGAACUGCGUCUGAUACUGGAUGGCUUGAAUCCGGGAGAGGGAUGCGGAAUUCCAGGUGUAGCGGUGAAAUGCGUAGAUAUCUGGAGGAACACCGGUGGCGAAGGCGGCAUCCUGGACCGGCAUUGACGCUGAGGAGCGAAAGCCAGGGGAGCAAACGGG
rnacentral:rRNA from 1 species